rnacentral:rRNA from 1 species
GAUGAACGCUGGCGGCGUGCCUAAUACAUGCAAGUCGAGCGAACAGACGAGGAGCUUGCUCCUCUGACGUUAGAGGCGGACGGGUGAGUAACACGUGGAUAACCUACCUAUAAGACUGGGAUAACUUCGGGAAACCGGAGCUAAUACCGGAUAAUAUAUUGAACCGCAUGGUUCAAUAGUGAAAGACGGUUUUGCUGUCACUUAUAGAUGGAUCCGCGCCGCAUUAGCUAGUUGGUAAGGUAACGGCUUACCAAGGCAACGAUGCGUAGCCGACCUGAGAGGGUGAUCUGCCAUACUGGUACUGAUACACGGUCCAGACUCCUACGGGAGGCAGCAGUAGGGAAUCUUCCGCAAUGGGCGAAAGCCUGACGGAGCAACGCCGCGUGAGUGAUGAAGGUCUUCGGAUCGUAAAACUCUGUUAUUAGGGAAGAACAAAUGUGUAAGUAACUAUGCACGUCUUGACGGUACCUAAUCAGAAAGCCACGGCUAACUACGUG